UACAGAGGGUGCAAGCGUUGUUCGGAAUUACUGGGCGUAAAGCGCGUGUAGGUGGCGAUGUAAGUCGGGUGUGAAAUCCCUUGGCUCAACCAAGGAAGUGCACUCGAUACUGUGUCGCUUGAGUAUCGGAGGGGACGGCGGAAUUCCCGGUGUAGAGGUGAAAUUCGUAGAUAUCGGGAGGAACACCUGUGGCGAAGGCGGCCGUCUGGACGAUUACUGACACUGAGACGCGAAAGCGUGGGUAGCAAACAGG
rnacentral:rRNA from 1 species